rnacentral:rRNA from 1 species
GAUGAACGCUGGCGGCGUGCUUAACACAUGCAAGUCGAACGAUGAAGCCCAGCUUGCUGGGUGGAUUAGUGGCGAACGGGUGAGUAACACGUGAGUAACCUGCCCUUGACUCUGGGAUAAGCCUGGGAAACUGGGUCUAAUACCGGAUAGGAACGUCCACCGCAUGGGGGGUGUUGGAAAGAUUUAUCGGUCAUGGAUGGACUCGCGGCCUAUCAGCUUGUUGGUGAGGUAAUGGCUCACCAAGGCGACGACGGGUAGCCGGCCUGAGAGGGUGACCGGCCACACUGGGACUGAGACACGGCCCAGACUCCUACGGGAGGCAGCAGUGGGGAAUAUUGCACAAUGGGCGAAAGCCUGAUGCAGCGACGCCGCGUGAGGGAUGACGGCCUUCGGGUUGUAAACCUCUUUCAGUAGGGAAGAAGCGAAAGCGACGGUACCUGCAGAAGAAGCACCGGCUAACUACGUGCCAGCCGCCGCGGUAACAC